rnacentral:tRNA from 1 species
GCGCGAUUAGCUCAGCGGGAGAGCGCUUCCCUGACACGGAAGAGGUCACUGGUUCAAAUCCCAGUAUCGCGCACCA